GAUGAAGAACGUAGCGAAAUGCGAUAAGUAAUGUGAAUUGCAGAAUUCAGUGAAUCAUCGAAUCUUUGAACGCACAUUGCGCCCGCCAGUAUUCUGGCGGGCAUGCCUGUUCGAGCGUCAUUUCAACCAUCAAGCCCCCGGCUUGUGUUGGGGACCUGCGGCUGCCGCAGGCCCUGAAAACCAGUGGCGGGCUCGCUAGUCACUCCGAGCGUAGUAAUACAUCUCGCUCAGGGCGUGCUGCGGGUUCCGGCCGUUAAAAGACUUAUUUACCCAAGGUUGACCUCGGAUCAGGUAGGAAGACCCGCUGAACUUAAGCAUAUCAAUAAGCGGAGGA
rnacentral:misc_RNA from 1 species